ACCUACAUGGCCCCAGGAUGGGACUGCGGCCGAUCAGGUUGUUGGUGAGGUAAUGGCCCACCAAGCCUGUAACCGGUACGGGCUCUGAGAGGAGGAGCCCGGAGAUGGGCACUGAGACAAGGGCCCAGGUCCUAUGGGACGCAGCAGGCGCGAAACCUUCGCAAUAGGCGAAAGCCUGACGAGGUUAAUCCGAGUGUUCCCUGCUAAAGGGAUCUUUUGCCAGCUCUAAAAAUGCUGGUGAAUAAGGGGUGGGCAAGCCUGGUGUCAGCCGCCGCGGUAAUACCAGCACCCCGAGUGGUCGGGAUGAUUAUUUGGCCUAAAGCAUCCGUAGCCGGUGCAGUAAGUCUUCCGUUAAAUCCAUCUGCUCAACAGAUGGGCUGCGGGAGAUACUGUUGCGCUAGGAGGCGGGAGAGGCGAGGGGUAUUCCACGGGUAGGGGUAAAAUCCUCUGAUCCAUGGAGGACCACCAGUGGCGAAGGCGUCUCGCCAGAACGCGCUCGACGGUGAGGGAUGAAAGCUGGGGGAGCAAACCGGAUUAGAUACCCGGGUAGUCCCAGCUGUAAACGAUGUAGGCUCGGUGAUGGGUUGACUUUGAGUUAACCCAGUGCCGCAGGGAAGCCGUUAAGCCUACCGCCUGGGGAGUACGGUCGCAAGACUGAAACUUAAAGGAAUUGGCGGGGGAGCACCACAAGGGGUGAAGCCUGCGGUUC
rnacentral:rRNA from 1 species